rnacentral:piRNA from 1 species
UCCUUAAGACGGGAAAGGCUCUAAGGC